rnacentral:rRNA from 1 species
AUUGAACGCUGGCGGAAUGCUUACACAUGCAAGUCGAACGGCAGCACGGGGCAACCUGGUGGCGAGUGGCGAACGGGUGAGUAAUACAUCGGAACGUGCCCAGUCGUGGGGGAUAACGUAGCGAAAGUUACGCUAAUACCGCAUACGAUCUAAGGAUGAAAGCGGGGGAUCGCAAGACCUCGCGCGAUUGGAGCGGCCGAUGUCAGAUUAGGUAGUUGGUGGGGUAAAGGCCCACCAAGCCGACGAUCUGUAGCUGGUCUGAGAGGACGACCAGCCACACUGGGACUGAGACACGGCCCAGACUCCUACGGGAGGCAGCAGUGGGGAAUUUUGGACAAUGGGCGCAAGCCUGAUCCAGCCAUUCCGCGUGCAGGAUGAAGGCCUUCGGGUUGUAAACUGCUUUUGUACGGAGCGAAAAGGCUCUCUCUAAUACAGGGGGCUCAUGACGGUACCGUAAGAAUAAGCACCGGCUAACUACGUGCCAGCAGCCGCGGUAA